UCCUCGUACUGCAUCAAGGAAUCAGUGUCGAUAUUCUUCAGCAAAACGCCCGAUAUUAAAACGAAAUCGCUCAUCAGGUCGAAUUCUUUCAUUUCAUCAUUCCAAACAUGUGUUGGGUAAAGUUUACUGCGACAACAUGGCCCAAACAGCGAUUAUUCUAAACUCUCUCUUUCGCCUGGGACAUGCGGUUCAUCGCUGCGGUUCAGGAAUCUAUACGCUAAGCUAGCACGUUGACAUUAAAAUGGACAAUUGCCAGAUUAGAAAAUUCUGUAAGCGUUCGGCAAGAUUUGGACACAGGUUGACGAUAUGAUGCGGUUCUGACACCGGGAACGGAAAAGUUAAUACAACGUUGUCUAUUAACCGGACUUCGCUUGCAAGAACUGGAUUUUUAAGCAAAGUUUCCACCGAUAUAUUUCUACUACAGUAUUGGGUAUGGUCACUUAUGGCAAUUUCGUAUUUAGACUUGGUUUAUUGGCUGUGUUUUGGUUGAAAGUAUGUUUAUGACCACGAAUACAAUUUCAAAAUGUGUCUGCUUCGAAAAUAUGUCCUUCUGUUGAAAAUAUGCAGGCGGUCAGGUAAGAGCGUGCUAAUACACCCUUUUCAUAAAUGGUUGCCGAUUAAAAAUUCUUUUAUGUGCAUAUAAAUUGGCCCAACUAGCCUCGUACUCAUGUUAAGAUUUCAAAGGAAUUUUUACCCAGAAGCGAGGCUAUAGUUGGGCCAAUUUAUAUGCACAUAAAAGAAUUUUUAAUCGGCAGCCAUUUAUGAAAAGGGUGUAUUGAUUUCUAUUGUAAGUUAAAAUACAUUUUGAUGUUACGUGGUAGUGUUUCCUCCUGUAGUAGCUCUGAAUUGACCAAUAUAAGUCUGGCCCUAACUGCACAUUUAGUGAGAACAGUUUAGACACAGUAGUUUAGAGAAAAACUUAAUUUACAUAAAUAUUUUAUUUAACACGUACAUAAAAUUUUGCCAUUGUCUGUUCAGUAUACAGUAUAGAUGUACACAGCAUGACGUCAACAUUUAUUUUUAAAUUGUUGGCACGUUUGUUUGACGUAUUUUUCGUGCUUUCCUCCAGUAGAUCAUGGCUCUCGACCAAUGGCAUAUUGUAAACACUGG